UAGCAGUGGGGAAUAUUGCACAAUGGGCGCAAGCCUGAUGCAGCAACGCCGCGUGAGGGACGAAGGCCUUCGGGUUGUAAACCUCUUUUAGUAGGGAAGAAGCGACUGGGUUUUCCUGGGAGUGACGGUACCUGCAGAAAAAGCACCGGCUAACUACGUGCCAGCAGCCGCGGUAAUACGUAGGGUGCAAGCGUUGUCCGGAAUUAUUGGGCGUAAAGAGCUCGUAGGCGGUUUGUCGCGUCUGCUGUGAAAACCCGAGGCUCAGCCUCGGGCCUGCAGUGGGUACGGGCAGACUAGAGUGCGGUAGGGGAGAUUGGAAUUCCUGGUGUAGCGGUGGAAUGCGCAGAUAUCAGGAGGAACACCAAUGGCGAAGGCAGAUCUCUGGGCCGUAACUGACGCUGAGGAGCGAAAGCAUGGGGAGCGAACAGGAUUAGAUACCCUGGUAGUCCAUGCCGUAAACGUUGGGAACUAGAUGUGGGGACCAUUCCACGGUCUCCGUGUCGCAGCUAACGCAUUAAGUUCCACCGCCC
rnacentral:rRNA from 1 species